rnacentral:rRNA from 1 species
GACGAACGCUGGCGGCGUGCUUAACACAUGCAAGUCGAACGGAAAGGCCCUGCUUUUGUGGGGUGCUCGAGUGGCGAACGGGUGAGUAACACGUGAGUAACCUGCCCUUGACUUUGGGAUAACUUCAGGAAACUGGGGCUAAUACCGGAUAGGAGCUCCUGCUGCAUGGUGGGGGUUGGAAAGUUUCGGCGGUUGGGGAUGGAUGCGCGGCUUAUCAGCUUGUUGGUGGGGUAGUGGCUUACCAAGGCUUUGACGGGUAGCCGGCCGGAGAGGGUGACCGGCCACAUCGGGACUGAGAUACGGCCAAGACUCCAACGGGUGGCAGCAGUGGGGAAGAUGGCAUAAUGGGCGGAAGCCUGAUGCAGCAACGCCGCGUGCGGGAUGACGGCCUUCGGGUUGUAAACCGCUUACGCCUGUGACGAAGCGUGAGUGACGGUAAUGGGUAAAGAAGCACCGGCUAACUACGUG